AUUGAACGCUGGCGGCAUGCCUUACACAUGCAAGUCGAACGGCAGCACGGGAGCUUGCUCCUGGUGGCGAGUGGCGAACGGGUGAGUAAUAUAUCGGAACGUGCCCUGGAGUGGGGGAUAACUAGUCGAAAGAUUAGCUAAUACCGCAUACGAUCUAAGGAUGAAAGUGAGGGAUCGCAAGACCUCAUGCUCGUGGAGCGGCCGAUAUCUGAUUAGCUAGUUGGUGAGGUAAAGGCUCACCAAGGCAUCGAUCAGUAGCUGGUCUGAGAGGACGACCAGCCACACUGGGACUGAGACACGGCCCAGACUCCUACGGGAGGCAGCAGUGGGGAAUUUUGGACAAUGGGCGCAAGCCUGAUCCAGCAAUGCCGCGUGAGUGAAGAAGGCCUUCGGGUUGUAAAGCUCUUUUGUCAGGGAAGAAACGGUGAGGGUUAAUACAUCUUGCUAAUGACGGUACCUGAAGAAUAAGCACCGGCUAACUACGUGCCAGCCGCCGCAGUAA
rnacentral:rRNA from 1 species